rnacentral:lncRNA from 1 species
GAUCGAAGCAGUGCGUUUGGGCUUGCAUUUAUCUGCAUUAUAGUGGCCGGCGUCGGAGGUCAAUCUCCGGCAGCGUCGCCGACGGCUACUCCUGUUACGGCUCAUAGUCCGGCCACUCCUGCUGUGGCCACUCCACCUGCUUCUUCACCUGCGGCUGCUGCCCCCACCAAAUCUAAAACGCCGGCUCCGGUCACGGCUCCCACUUCGUCACCACCUACGGCAGUUUCCUCUCCGCCAGCUAGCUCUCCCGUGUCAUCUCCUCCUACUCCGGCUGUGCCAACGCCUGCCUCGUCACCGGUGGCUGUGACUCCGGUCAGCUCGCCACCUGCUCCGGUUCCGGUCAGCUCUCCACCUUUGCUCCCGCCUGCGAAAUCUCCUCCUGUUCCGGCGCCGGCAAACCCCCCCGCGGCUUCUCCUCCGGCUCCGGUUUCUUCGCCUCCUGCAGAGACUCCGGCUGCAGAGGUUCCGUCACCUGCUCCGAGCAAGAAGAAGACUAAGAAGCUCAAAUCGCCGGCCCCUGCUCCGGCGCCGGAGGCG